UUUUUUUUAUUUUAAUAGUUUGAAAAACAAUAUGCAAUGAAGGCUAACUUAAUAUCUAAAAACAAAGGAAUGUGAAUUUAGUUGCAAAACUGUUGUUAGCUGCAAACAAUGGAUUACAUUCUAGAUGUUUUAGGCUUGUAAUACAAAUACAGGUAUUAAUAGUUAAUAAAUAAACCAAGUUAAGUAGCUAUUUAAGUUAACCUGUCAAUCUAGGAACCAUAGAAAUGAAAUAACAGUUCACUCUUACAGUUAGCCAGAGUUUUGGCAA